UACUGGGAUCCAUUUUUGAUGAAAAAGCUUUCCAUGAUGCUUUUCCAUUACACCUCCCCUGAUGCCAACAUGGGCAAUGUUCAAUUUUAACCCUUUAAGUGGAAGUGCAUCCCACUUUAUUACUUUACUCUGUCUAAUGCCAGACGAUUUUACUCAUUAGAGGGAGAGUGCUGCGACCACUCAAUGGGUUAAUCAGACUAUCUGCCCAUGCACCCUGUUAACCAUUUAAGUGGCAAUUAAUGCACCCCACUUUAUUAUUUUACUCUGUCUAACGCCAGACGAUGUUACUCAUCAGGGGGAGAGUGGUGCCACUCAAUG